GUUUUAGGUCACAGUGAUUAGUGAAGGGCUCCCUGCCUCUGGAUGAGAAAGCAGUUGAAGUCCAUCGAUGGUUAAAGGCAACUCACCGAGUCUUUCGUAGUGGACUACUGGGAUCUAGACUGACACAAAUUACAGUUAUAUAUCAAGAUCAGACUUUUAAAUCGUUCUAAAAUCAAACCUCCUGUUGCAAUGACAGAGUUCUCUAUGCAGGCCAAUAUUCCUGAUCUCCGGGAGCAAUGAGCCCUUUGAGAUGGAAUCACAGACUGGUUCAGGCUGGAAGGAACCUCUGGAGACCACCUAGUCCACCCCUCUCCCCGCUGAGGCAUGGUCACCACGUCCAGAUGGCUUUUGAACACCUCCAAGGACAGAGACUCUGCCACCUCUUCACGCAACCUCUCCCUGCUGGCGUAGUGCAGAGUAAAGCAGCUCAAUGUCAUGUAGCUGGAGUGAAGACAUGCAGAUCAGGUCCAUCUCUCCAUGUAAUUCCACCUGUGAAGCUGUGGACAUAGAGAAGGAUGAAGAAGCAAGUGUCAGGAGCAGAAACAGGGGAUUGGGAAUGCCCUGCUGUACAUCGGCCUGUGUCUCGAUGAUCAUUGCACUGCAGCUCAGGACACCAGAGUUCUUCUGAACAGCACAUUGUAUUCACAGAAAUCUCAAUCUUAUUGGAAAUCUAGGUCUGGAACAGUAAAGCCAAGAAACAGGUAUGCUUGCACUGGUAUUUCUGUGCCCAGAAGUACUGUCUUCAUAUGGAUGACAGCAAUCCGGUCGACGACUGAGGAUUCGCCACAUCUGUUGCCUAGUAUAAACACGUGGGUGAAUUCAGUGAAAGAAAGUAAAUCAGAAAACAUCAAAUUCCUCCAGACUCAGGUACCAGCAGAAAGCACAUUCGGCAUUUCCACUUCCAACCAUGGAAUCAAACACACCUAAAUCACUUCAAAUA